UUUAAUUGAAGAGUUUGAUCAUGGCUCAGAUUGAACGCUGGCGGCAGGCCUAACACAUGCAAGUCGAACGGUAACAG
rnacentral:rRNA from 3 species